rnacentral:rRNA from 1 species
CGUACACUCCUGCGGGAGGCAGCAGUGGGGAAUAUUGCACAAUGGGCGCAAGCCUGAUGCAGCCAUGCCGCGUGUAUGAAGAAGGCCUUCGGGUUGUAAAGUACUUUCAGCGGGGAGGAAGGCGAUAAGGUUAAUAACCUUGUUGAUUGACGUUACCCGCAGAAGAAGCACCGGCUAACUCCGUGCCAGCAGCCGCGGUAAUACGGAGGGUGCAAGCGUUAAUCGGAAUUACUGGGCGUAAAGCGCACGCAGGCGGUCUGUCAAGUCGGAUGUGAAAUCCCCGGGCUCAACCUGGGAACUGCAUUCGAAACUUGCAGGCUAGAGUCUUGUAGAGGGGGGUAGAAUUCCAGGUGUAGCGGUGAAAUGCGUAGAGAUCUGGAGGAAUACCGGUGGCGAAGGCGGCCCCCUGGACAAAGACUGACGCUCAGGUGCGAAAGCGUGGGGAGCAAACAGGAUUAGAAACCCUAGUAGUCC